UAAGCACGGCCUCUGUGAAAU
ensembl:piRNA 21ur-2360 ncRNA